UAGGCUAAAAUUUGGAACUAUUGAUUGGUUGACAAACUAUUUAGUUGGUGGCCAACCAUUGACUUGGUGGCUAGUUUUUGAUAUUGUUGGCUGGUUAUUAAUAUUGUUGGCUAGCCAAAACGUCAUUGCUAACAUCAGAAUUCGAGCCUAUUGGACCCAUAAAAGUUGUGGGCAAUUGUCUCAGCUUUCCAAUAAAAAAAACCAGAGCUCAUUUG
rnacentral:lncRNA from 1 species